AGAUCGCUUGUUUCUUGUUUUAUUCUCCUGCUUCAAAAUUUCAAAAUCUGACAUAGGAAAGCCAAGCCCUCACUUACCUGCUUUGCUCAAUACAGACUGCAAUCAGCAACACUUUUCCAAACUCCAUUCUGAAGCUUGCAAGGAAAAGGCUUCAUCCUGCCAGGCAGUGGUAUUAGCCAUCACAUGGAAGGCCGUCAUAAUUCCUGCUCAGUGUAGCAAGGAGCAUUUAAAGUUGAAGUAGACUCAUACUACAAAUGAACAAGGAAGUGCAGAUGAGGUGAUGAUGGCUUUUUUUUUUUCUCAUUAAACUUGAGUGAAGGUGUAAGAGACAUGAUUCCUGCUGCUAGUCCUGCUCAUUCAUGCAUCCCAAGAUAAAAUACACAAAUACCUUUCAGAGCAAGGAGCAAAAAUCUCCAGGACUCAUAAAUGGCUGGUAGUCCCCAUCUCACUGUGCUACAUGCAGUAUCUCUGUUGCUUAUCCCCUCUCCCUGGUCCCAUUAAUCUUGCACUCUUUGCUGCACAUUGGCUCUGCUUCAGCAGGACAGAUGGAGAACAACACUGUUGUAGCCUAUUUUGUAGCAUGAUUAGGCAUUUUAUUGAGAAGUAUGGCUUCAAAUUCUUCAGGCUGAAGAGGACCUAAAGCUCACAUUUCCCACUUCCCAGGGAGGCAUUCUAACCCCUCCGAUAUCAUGUUAUGUCCUCUGGCAGGGAAUAUUGGAAUGGCAUUAAAGAAAAACAAAGGAAAAUGCUAAUGUGAUCUUACAGAUGCUCAAAGCAUUCAAUUAUGAUCAAUUGUGUUGCUGUUUCUGUGCAUCAGCCCUCAAACAAUGGGUAUAUUAAGAACAAGAAAUGUUUUAACCCUACAUCUUGGCAUACAGAAGUAUGGGAGGGACUCCAUUUCCUCCAUUUCUUGCCUGCUUAUUAAGGACUUCUACUUGGAUGGGCUUUGCAAGGAGCUCUGAGGUCUGCAGGAUAAGCUAUGCUGCAGGAACCCAAGCGUACUGCUGUCCCCCUGGAGGAAGGACAGAGGGGGCUGUGAAAGAUACCGCCACAGAGGCAAAAGACGGAGGCCGUUUCAAGGUGGAAAAAUGCAGGAGGAACACAGCAGAGAAUUUCACACGGAAUAAAAAAAGGAGAGAGUCAAGGGGGCAGGCAGCCUUCAUCACACCUUUGGGCAGACGCUGCUGGGCGUGAAUUGCUUUGGGCAUCAGGCUAACUUCAGUGUAAACUGAACCAGAUACUGGAAGGACUCGGCAUCCAGAGGACUUCAGCUGAUGACAUUCUUCAUUGUUAGAAGAAAAUAUCACAGAAUAGAUAUUGUAGAACCAGAGUAUAAUCUUCGGGGGCUUUUGCUGUCUGGUGUUUGCAAAUGGGCAUGCACAAAUGGAGAUUUUCUGGCUUUUAUUUCCAGGCACGGGCAUAUUUUCUCAUGGAUGCCAAAACAUAUGUUUCUGGAACAACAAGAUUGGAAGAAAACUCCUAAAAAAACCAGUGCUUUGCUUAGCUAGUUAUAAAGCUAUUUUUAAUAGCAAUAUAGCAACAAAGAUAAUGAGAUAGAAAUUCAUCCCUUUUCACUGUUGAAGAACUCGUAAUCACCCUUUGAGCUUUGAGUAUAGCAUAUACAUGAAUAUUUUGGCUUAGUUUCAGCUCAGAGGAUUAGAAGUGGCUGAAGUGAAGAAGAUGAGAAGGGAAACAUUCUUGCAACAUUUAUCAAAAAUUAGAAUCCAAAUAUACAUGAGAAAUAGAGACAACAGUCAAAAACUGUGAUCAAUAUUGGUGCUACCUUAUGUAGCACUUGUGAAAAAUAUUUUUGUCACCGUGAGAACCAGCUUGAGUCCAGAAGGAUCUGCACUGUUUGCUGCAGUAGGACUGCUGUGUCACUGAGAUUUUCCUGACAGAAGUGCAUGAAAUUUGGCACAGCUGAGACUCCCCUCAAUGUCUACACGCACCCAUAUCUAGUACCUGCCCAGUCCUGGAUGCCCCAGGUCAGUUGGGUUUGCUGUGUGCUGGCUGUGAACUACUGCACAGCGCUGGCAUCCACAAACCCACGGUCUCCCCCGUUACAGAUCUCAUCUGCACAUGUCUAACAGGUUUUUCUUCAGGACUUCCAGCAGCUGGGGCUGAACCCUUGCUAUAACUGAACUGCCCAGAUUUUGGAAGUCGUGAGCAAACAGCGAAGUCCUUCUAGUCCAUCCAGCAGCUCUGUCCCAGCUCUCCAUGGGGUUUUCUGGCUCAGGGGCAGUGCAGGACAAAGGCAAGGAACCUGCAGGGCUGGGGAGCGCAGAAACCAGUUGCCUGGGAAUCUGGAGUGCCGGGCACUGUCCUGUGGGGUUGUUGGUGUGACUUUGUGGGUUUUGCUGCCUGCAUGCAUCUUAGGUUUUACUGCUACCUGGAGUAUCCUAGCCUCUUGUGCCACAGUGAAACUACAACUCCAAAUCUGAAUAAUAAAUUCCUUGAAUUUAUGUUCUCUGAGUAUUUC
rnacentral:lncRNA from 1 species